AUUGAACGCUGGCGGCAGGCCUAACACAUGCAAGUAGAACGCGUGGCGGACGGGAGAGUCAUGUCUGGGAAACUGCCCGAUGUAGGGGGAUAACUACUGGAAAAGGUAGCUAAUACCGCAUACCAGCGGCUGUGCCCAGAUGGGAUUAGCUAGUAGGGGGGGUAACGGCUCACCUAGGCGACGAUCCCUAGCUGGUCUGAGAGGAUGACCAGCCAAACUGGAACUGAGACACGGUCCAGACUCCGACGGGAGGCAGCAGUGGGGAAUAUUGCACAAUGGGCGCAAGCCUGAUGCAGCCAUGCCGCGGGUAUGAAGAAGGCCUUCGGGUUGUAAAGUACUUUCAGCGAGGAGGCGUUACUCGCAGAAGAAGCACCGGCUAACUCCGUGCCAGCAGCCGCGGUAAUUC
rnacentral:rRNA from 1 species